rnacentral:lncRNA from 1 species
UUCAAAUUCUCGGAGCAUUGCGCGUGCUUCUGUUGUGCGGGCUGAUGCGAAGCAUUCUGGGAAGUGUCUCCCAGGUGGUUUCUGUUAGCAUCCGCUCCCCUUGUCCUCCCUUGAGUCUCCUCUCUCCCACACCUUCCUCGACUGAUGCCUGGAUCUGGAGAUAUCAUCGCACUGAUAGGGUCUCAACGCGUGGCUCAGCCUCCUGCCUCAGCCACCGGUGUGUUGCGAUGACAGCCUGA